AAUAUUUAUCGAUAGUUACUAAAUGAUAUUUCAAUUACUUACAUAACCAAUACUACAUUCUAAUUUUAUACGUGAGUUCAACAUUUUAUAAAAACUUAAAUUCCAUAAAUGCAUUAUAGAUCUACUAUAUAUAUAUAUAUAUAUAUAUAUAUUUCAAAUUCUAAAAUCAAAUAUUUUUAUGACUUUGGAGAUCUAUAAAUCACCUAAUCAAAUGCAAACAAUUUAUCCUAUUGUGUAUUAUUCAACUUGUAAAUUGCAAUUUUUUUUGUAACUUAGGAUAACUAUUUAAUUAAGUCUUAGUAUAAAUAUAAAUAAAAAAAUCGUUAAUUCUUAUUUUUUUUAAGACAAAUGAUUUUUUUACAUGCGAAUAGUUAGGUAUUUGUCUAUGACAAAUUUAAAAUGAUAUGCUUAAAUCUGAUUUUUUUUCUGGUGCAAAAACAAUUCACAAUUAAAUUUUAAAAUGUAACAGAUGUAAAAUCAUGACUUCAAAUUGGUUGCAUAGUUUUUGGUAUCAUGUUUGGAAGAAGUUUCAAAACAUAUACUUUCUUAUGCACUAAAUCAUUUACAACAACUACAAAAUAUUUUCUACAAUGGAUGCAAAUAUAUAAAGCUUUCGAGGAAAUAAAGAUGCACUAAAAUAUGCUGCAACUUAAAUGUUUAUUUCUGAUUAAAUUAUUAAUGACCAUUGUUUCUUUCUUUAUUUAUUUUUCACUAUAGUGAUAUUUUAACUAUAAUUGAUGUUAUAACAUGCAAAAUAAAGUAAAAAAAUCCUAAAAUAGUUAGAACUUUACUAAAAAUAAAUUACUAUAAAAUUGAUGUGUAGUAUUUUCUUUGGAAUACUUUAAAACCCUAUUUAGUUUCAACAGGAGUAUGUUCAUCAAAAAUGUUAUUGAUACAUUUCAUUAUCAAUCUCAUAUCAAUGUCAGUCUCAUUGACCAAGACAACAAAUCAAACAUGAAAUUUCAAGUAUGAGUAAAUUAUUAUGUUAAUCAAGUUGUGCAAAUGAAACAAGACUGCAUCUCAUCAUAUAGAAAAAAUUUCAGUGUACAAUCACACCUUUUUAAUUACUCAAUGAAAAAUAAAAAUUUAAUGAACAUCUACAACCUGACUGACCUUUUUGACUUUAAAAAUAUACAUAAGCUUAACUAAUACGUUUGAAUUAGUCAACACAUUGGUGCCAAUCGAAUUCCUUUUGGGUGCUGAUAAGGACUAACCCUCAAAUGUGGUGAGAGGUAUUCAACUAAUAUUGAAAUGAAUAUGAUACAUUUGCACAUCUCUAACAUGUUGGAACCAUACAUUUUUACGUAUGGGCCACGUACAUGCUCCAAAUGGCUUCACAACACCACAUACAUUUUUUCCUUUUGAACCAGAGCAUCUGGUUCUUGCUGAUAUGCUGCAAUAAUAUGAGAGAGUGAAUAGAAAAUUGCUGACUGCCUUUUUUGGGAGUGGCUUCGCAGGUCUUCAAUGCCUUCUUCUAAAAUGGAACUUGGGUGACCAGAUUUAGACGAGUGCAAUUCUUCUGGAGCAUGAAUUGCUCCGUAUGCUACAUGAGAGGUCAUGAGAGGAUCGCCGAUCAGUCUGCACGACGUCUGGGAGGGCUACCUCCUGGAGUUCAGAAUUUUUUUAGAUUCUGUACAUGACUCCCCAUUCUCAUUCGUGAAGGUUGAAUUUAUCAAUAUGUUUAUUUGAAUCAAUGAACAGAUAGAAGCAGUUCACUAAAGUUGUAUCCAAAUUUGUCUAAGACUACAGGUACUCAAUCACAAGGUCUGCACUUGCAUGAUAUCUGCAAAAAGCAAGAGCAAUCUUUCAGUAUAUGCUAGUGAUGACCAGUGUAUUGCGAUUCAAAGCAAGGCUGCGUGAAAGCUCUAGUUACAGCGAAGAUAUCCCUACUUCACAACUACAGAUAUAGGUAAUAAUUGGUGAGAUAUUAAUAUGAUGGACUGGAACAUUAAAUGAAAUGUUGACAGGGAUCACAUCAACGAAAUGAUGAAACAUC
rnacentral:lncRNA from 1 species